rnacentral:pre_miRNA from 1 species
GUGAGCUUGGACGUCGGUCUACCGAGCAAUAUCAUCCGCUCGGUGGAAGAUCUUCCGUGGGUCGU